CCAAGUUCGUCAUGCUAGAGCACUUUUUCAAUGUGCUCCCAACGAGAAGGUGAUGAUGCAUUCGUAUGUCAAUCCAUAUCAACUUUCUGCGCCUACCAUGGUGACCACGGGUAACGGGGAAUCAGGGUUCGAUUCCGUACAGGGACCCUGACAAACAGCUACCACAGGCAAGGAAGGCAGCAGGCGCGCACAUGACCCACUCCCGACGGGGGAAGGUAGUGACG